UUUUUUUUUUUUUUUUUUUUUUUUUUUUUUUGAGUAGUCCAGUGGGAUGACAUCUGGAGGGGCUAUGCUUUAGAUUAUUUAUAGAUGUGGGCAAUAAGAGCUACAUUUAUGUUGUCAGUGCUGUUUGCCCUCGUUUAAUUUCUCAAAUGACCUAAUUAUAUGUGUUCUCAAUAUGUCUUGGGAGGAAAAUAAUUGCUGAUACUGUCAAAGGCAAAAUGCUGAAUAUGUUUCAGUGCUUCUCACAUUCCAUGGCCUGAUUAUGGGCAUCAUUAAAUUACACGUUACCAUUCUUCCGGAACAUCGCAUUGAACAUGUCCUAAUGUUUCACAAUGAGAAGUGAAGCACUUCCUCUUACUUAAAAAGAAAAAUAUUUGAUUUUUACAGGAUGCCUGACACUAAUGCUUACUAUUCUGCUAUCUAUGAUGUCUUCACUUAUGGAUAUAUUUAUUAACAAGUACUUAUUAGCUAUUUAACAUUUCCUCUACUGAGUGUUAUUAAUUACAGAUGCUGUAUUAGUUUCCUAAGGCUGCUGUAACAAAUUACCACAAACGUGGUGACUUAAAACAACAGAAAUUUAUUCUCUCACGGUUCUGGAGGCCAGAAGUUCAAAAUACAGCUGGGACCAAAGGCAUCUCUAAGGAAGGAUACAGUCCUUGCCUCUUCCAGGGUUCUGUGCCUCCUGUUGGAAUGAGCUCACUAACCAGUGGAAACAAACUGUUUAUCCUUCUAUGAUGUUGCAACUGCCUGGGCUUUCUAAUGCGUCUUCAGAUUUCGGUUUGUACUCAGAACAAGUGAGAAAAGUUUUACAGCAACUCCACGAAACAAAGCAGACAGGCUCUCCUGAAGCCAAGGAGUUAUGAAAAAGGCAGGCAUCGCGCAUUGAAUCAAGUAUGCCAUUACCCUCACUCCCAUGAACCUGUCUUUCAGCACAAUCCAUGACAGCAAGAAGACAAAGGCUUUGUUACAACAGAACAGAGCGGAGACAUCCGUGGCCGUCAGCUUCUUUAAAGCCAGUAAAUAAAGGUAAUUAGUCAAAGUCCAUAGAAUAGAAAAGGGAGCAGUUCUUUUAAGAAAGAGUUUCAGCGUCAGACCAUCUUCACCAAAAAUCCGACUGCAUUCCCUAGGAAAGAAAAGAGAAGUUAAUAUCCAGGUACUGAUGGUGACACCUCUUGUCUUAUCUGACUCAUCGCAGCCAUUUUCAGGUAAGAGCACAAACACUCAAUACCCAUCCUUCAUUGUGAAGUAUACUGAACCCAGUUCUGAAAUCUGCGGGCUUCAGGGAGUGUAUGAGGUUCCUUGGAAAAUAGCCCACAUGUGCCCAAGCACAGAGUUAGGCUCUCUUCUCUGAGAUAGUCUCUGGAGGUUGCCUGAAAAGCCAUUCUGUCGUUUUUGAGCAUUCUCAGAAGAGCCUGCAGAAAUACCGAAAUUGGUAGUUGCUGAAAUCACUAGCUAUUGGAAGAGGGUGGGCAAACGAGAGAGGGUCAAGGCUGCUACUACUCUGUGAACGGGCUACAGACAACUCCUAGAACCCGGAGGGAAAGGGACCCUCAUACAUCUGUGCAGCACACAUGUUUUUGGAUUUUAUUUCUAAGACACUAAGCCACUUUCUAAUAUAUCUGCCCAAUUGACUAAUUUUUUUUCCUGCCAGCAUUUUUAAGGCAGAAAAAUGAAGUCCCUGUGAUAACUCCCACAUGAUAAAAACUAUAAUAGAAAACUCAGGUUGUACUUAUAUACAAACAUUUGGCCCUUUUGGAGGAAUUGUCUAAAUUCGGUGUGAGAAAAUGGUCACUUCAAUUGUUAAAUCUUCGGUUUGUUUGAUUUUUCAAGGAAGUUGGCUACAUUUAGCCCCAGGGGCCAUUUUUUUCCUUUAAGUCCUAGGCCUAAACAUGAUUUUUUUUUUCCCCCUAGGUCUGGCUCUCUUACCCAGGCUGGAAUGCGGUAGCAUGAUCUUGGCUCACUGCAACCUCCGCCUCCCAGACUCGAGCCAUCCUCACACCUCAGCCUCCUGAGUAGCUGGGACUACAGGCACGCACCACCAUGCCAGGCUAGUUUUUGAAAUUUUUUUGUAGAGACAGACAGGAUUUCACUCUGUUGCCUAGGCUGGUCUCAAACUCUUAAGCUCAGGUGAUCUGCUCACCUUGGCCUCCCAAAGUGCUGAGAUUACAGGCAAGAGCCACUGCACCUGGCUCUGAGGGGCCAUUUUAAUAAAAAUGUUCAAGCUAGCAAUACAUACAGGCAAUAAUGGAAGUGAUACAAUGACUGUACCUAUACGACUAUGGACUGAAGACAGACUUACCACUGGGAGAAUUUUAAUUUUUUUCCCACUCGAUUGUUCAUGAACAUUCAAGUAUUUAUGGGGUAACUGUCAUGCUCCAGGCAUUGUAUUUUCAUGAGUAGUAUAUGUUUAUAAUGAAAUCUAUUUACAGGACUCUAGUACUAGUUUCUUUUCCAGUUUUAACUGAAAUUAGUGUGCCUCAAAGUAUUGCAAAUCAAAGUAAAUUCUAGCCAAUGUUUGCCUCACAUGAAUAACCCCAAAAAAGGACCACGUGGAGAGGAGGAGUGACAAAGAAUUAGGCACAGGGAGUAUAGCCUUAAAGAUUAAGUUUCAUAGUAAAUGUGACUUUCAACUGGAUGAGAAUGUUGGGAGUUGCAGGUCACCGGUUCCAGGAAGGUUAAAGACAUGUGUUGCACACACAGAAACUUGUAUUGAAAUUUGUUUACUUUCAUGUAAGGAGGCUUCCAAAAAGGAAGGAUUUUUGUAAAAUGAAAGUAAGAUUUCCCAAAGAUAAAUUUUAACUUUAAAGCCUUCUGUAAUGUAAACAGAAAUUACACACGCUCACAUACACAGGAAAGUGAACAGUCUCUUUGAAGCCCCACAGCCAAUGGGAUAUUCUGAAUUAGCACCAUACAUAGAACCAGAGGAAGUUUUCAUAGAGCAUCCUGGGCACAAAGUUCAUUUUCUGUACUUAUAAGGCGAUCUGCUCCGUGAGAAAGCUGCCGUGUAGAGCUGGAGUUGAGAGUCGUGGGUUUAUCCCAUCAUUUACAACUACUGAUUGCCUUUUAAAAUAUGAACACAUUUAUUAAGAACCACAACAAAACCCAUUCCUGAUUAAAGGAUAUCUUUUUCUUAUCACUGGCCCUAGCCAGUGAUUGUUCUUCAACCAAGAGCUGGGAGGAGUGCUCCUAAGCAAAGAUUUUGGAUGCAGGAAAGGAACACUCCAAUCCCACAGGGAAGACCAACAGAUGUGUAUUCCAGACAGACAGAGCCUCACUGGCAGAGCAGCUGGGAAGACGCUGCUGACUGACAGGUGGAGACUGUUCUCACCUGGCUCAACCUGUCUUCCAGGUGUUCAUUCCCUCGUUCUUCCCCUUUCUUUCCCCUUCUCUCACUGCCGACCUUCUCCCCUUUGUUACUGUUGUUGUAGAAAUUAAAAAUGCUCUCCAUCUAAA